rnacentral:rRNA from 1 species
GACGAACGCUGGCGGCGUGCUUAACACAUGCAAGUCGAACGGAAAGGCCUUUUCGGCGGUACUCGAGUGGCGAACGGGUGAGUAACACGUGGGUGAUCUGCCCUGCACUCUGGGAUAAGCCUGGGAAACUGGGUCUAAUACCGGAUAGGACCGCACUUUAGUGUGUGUGGUGGAAAGUUUUUUCGGUGUAGGAUGAGCCCGCGGCCUACCAGCUUGUUGGUGGGGUAAUGGCCUACCAAGGCGGCGACGGGUAGCCGGACUGAGAGGUUGGUCGGCCACAUUGGGACUGAGAUACGGCCCAGACUCCUACGGGAGGCAGCAGUGGGGAAUAUUGCACAAGGGGCGCAAGCCUGAUGCAGCGACGCCGCGUGGGGGAUGACGGCCUUCGGGUUGUAAACUCCUUUCGCCAGGGACGAAGCGUUUUGUGACGGUACCUGGAGAAGAAGCACCGGCUAACUACGUG